AGGGUUGAAUGAAAUAUUAACUAUUUUAUAAGAUUUUAGUUAAAAUUUUAUAUUUUAGUUAAAAAGCUAAAAUAAUUUUAUAGGACGAGAAGACCCUAUAGAAUUUUAUAAUUAUAUAUUUAUAAUUUUUAUAGGAUAUUUUAUAUUUUAUUUUGUUAAUUAUUUUAUUGGGGUGAUUAUGUAAUUUAAUAAACUUAUUUUUUUUUUUCAUUAAUUUAUGAUUAAUUGAUCUUUUUAUAUAGAUUAAAAGAUGAAAUUACCUUAGGGAUAACAGCGUAAUUUUAUUUUUAAGUUCUUAUUUAUAAA
rnacentral:rRNA from 1 species